CCCUAGUAACGGCGAGUGAAGCGGCAAGAGCUCAAAUUUGAAAGCUGGCCCCCUCGGGGUCCGCAUUGUAAUUUGCAGAGGAUGCUUCGGGAACGGCCCCCAUCUAAGUGCCCUGGAACGGGCCGUCAUAGAGGGUGAGAAUCCCGUCUGGGAUGGGGUGGCCGCGCCCGUGUGAAGCUCCUUCGACGAGUCGAGUUGUUUGGGAAUGCAGCUCUAAUUGGGUGGUAAAUUUCAUCUAAAGCUAAAUAUUGGCCGGAGACCGAUAGCGCACAAGUAGAGUGAUCGAAAGAUGAAAAGCACUUUGAAAAGAGAGUUAAACAGCACGUGAAAUUGUUGAAAGGGAAGCGCUUGCGACCAGACUCGCCCGCGGGGUUCAGCCGGCACUCGUGCCGGUGUACUUCCCCGCGGGCGGGCCAGCGUCGGUUUGGGCGGCCGGUCAAAGGCCUCUGGAAGGUAACGCCUCUCGGGGCGUCUUAUAGCCAGGGGUGCCAUGCGGCCUGCCCGGACCGAGGAACGCGCUUCGGCUCGGACGCUGGCAUAAUGGUCGUAAGCGACCCGUCUUGAAACACGGACCAAGGAGUCUAACAUCUACGCGAGUGUUCGGGUGUCAAACCCGUGCGCGCAGUGAAAGCGAACGGAGGUGGGAACCCCCCGGGGUGCACCAUCGACCGAUCCUGAUGUCUUCGGAUGGAUUUGAGUAAGAGCGUAGCUGUUGGGACCCGAAAGAUGGUGAACUAUGCCUGAAUAGGGCGAAGCCAGAGGAAACUCUGGUGGAGGCUCGCAGCGGUUCUGACGUGCAAAUCGAUCGUCAAAUUUGGGUAUAGGGGCGAAAGA
rnacentral:rRNA from 1 species